rnacentral:lncRNA from 1 species
GAAGACGAAAAUGGGAGGUAAUCCGGUGAUGGAAGCAAGGUUGUUUUGGUGAGAGGGUGAAGAUGACGGUGUCGUCGGCGGAGGUAGUGGGGAUUUUGAAGCGAAUGUGAUGGAGUAAAUGGAGAGGAAAGGAUAAACUUUUUGCAGUGAGAAUGGAAGGAAAUAACGUGUGAGGGCCCUGUUCUUUUGUAUUUUUUCAGAGUGUCAAAAGAGACUUUUUUUGUGAGUGGAGGGAGAGUUUUUUGAGGAGAGUAGUGUGUGAGCCUUUUAUUACUUUUUUUUUAAUAUUAUUUUUUGUUACCGUUGGAAGAAGAGAGUUUUCUUUUAUUUUCAUUUUUUUAAAUUAUUAUUCAAUUUAUUUCUAAAUUCUGAUUGGAUGAUAAAAUGUACAUGGAUUGUGAACUUAGACCUUUGAUUAAUUUGAAUCAACGAUUCAGAUUGAAUCAAAGAAACACACCAAGAAACACACAUUAUUUAAAUAAAUCAAAAUGUAUAUAAUGUAUUUUUUUUAGAUAACUUAAUCGAUU